rnacentral:rRNA from 1 species
GACGAACGCUGGCGGCGUGCUUAACACAUGCAAGUCGAACGGAAAGGCCCUGCUUUUGUGGGGUGCUCGAGUGGCGAACGGGUGAGUAACACGUGAGUAACCUGCCCUUGACUUUGGGAUAACUUCAGGAAACUGGGGCUAAUACCGGAUAGGAGCUCCUGCUGCAUGGUGGGGGUUGGAAAGUUUCGGCGGUUGGGGAUGGACUCGCGGCUUAUCAGCUUGUUGGUGGGGUAGUGGCUUACCAAGGCUUUGACGGGUAGCCGGCCUGAGAGGGUGACCGGCCACAUUGGGACUGAGAUACGGCCCAGACUCCUACGGGAGGCAGCAGUGGGGAAUAUUGCACAAUGGGCGGAAGCCUGAUGCAGCAACGCCGCGUGCGGGAUGACGGCCUUCGGGUUGUAAACCGCUUUCGCCUGUGACGAAGCGUGAGUGACGGUAAUGGGUAAAGAAGCACCGGCUAACUACGUGCCAGCAGCCGCGGUGAUACGUAGGGUGCGAGCGUUGUCCGGAUUUAUUGGGCGUAAAGGGCUCGUAGGUGGUUGAUCGCGUCGGAAGUGUAAUCUUGGGGCUUAACCCUGAGCGUGCUUUCGAUACGGGUUGACUUGAGGAAGGUAGGGGAGAAUGGAAUUCCUGGUGGAGCGGUGGAAUGCGCAGAUAUCAGGAGGAACACCAGUGGCGAAGGCGGUUCUCUGGGCCUUUCCUGACGCUGAGGAGCGAAAGCGUGGGGAGCGAACAGGCUUAGAUACCCUGGUAGUCCACGCUGUAAACGGUGGGUACUAGGUGUGGGGUCCAUUCCACGGGUUCCGUGCCGUAGCUAACGCUUUAAGUACCCCGCCUGGGGGGUACGGCCGCAAGGCUAAAACUCAAAGGAAUUGACGGGGCCCCGCACAAGCGGCGGAGCAUGCGGAUUAAUUCGAUGCAACGCGUAGAACCUUACCUGGGUUUGACAUGGAUCGGAAGCGCUCAGAGAUGGGUGUGCCUCUUUUGGGGUCGGUUCACAGGUGGUGCAUGGCUGUCGUCAGCUCGUGUCGUGAGAUGUUGGGUUAAGUCCCGCAACGAGCGCAACCCUUGUUCACUGUUGCCAGCACGUUAUGGUGGGGACUCAGUGGAAACCGCCGGGGUUCAACUCGGAGGAAGGUGGGGAUGACGUCAAGUCAUCAUGCCCCUUAUGUCCCAGGCUUCCCGCAUGCUACAAUGGCUGGUACCAAAAGUGGCCAGCCUGUGAGGGUGAACGAAUCUCGCGAAAGCCGGUCUCAAUUCGGAAUGGGGCCUGGAACUCCACCUCAUGAAAUCGGGAUCCCUAGAAAUCGCACAUCACUCACCCUGCGGGUGAAUAGAUUCCCGGGCU